GCCCGGGUGGCGGAAUGGUAGACGCAGGGGGCUUAAACCCCCCGGACCUGAAAGGGUCAUGCGGGUUCGAGUCCCGCCCCGGGUA
rnacentral:tRNA from 2 species